rnacentral:rRNA from 1 species
GCACAAGCGGUGGAUGAUGUGGUUAAUUCGAUGCAACGCGAAAACUUACCCACCUUUGACAUGUACGGAAUCCUUUAGAGAUAGAGGAGUGCUCGAAAGAGAACCGUAACACAGGUGCUGCAUGGCUGUCGUCAGCUCGUGUCGUGAGAUGUUGGGUUAAGUCCCGCAACGAGCGCAACCCUUGUCAUUAGUUGCUACAUUCAGUUGGGCACUCUAAUGAGACUGCCGGUGACAAACCGGAGGAAGGUGGGGAUGACGUCAAGUCCUCAUGGCCCUUAUAGGUGGGGCUACACACGUCAUACAAUGGAUGGUACAAAGGGUCGCCAACCCGCGAGGGGGAGCCAAUCCCAUAAAGCCAUUCGUAGUCCGGAUCGCAGUCUGCAACUCGACUGCGUGAAGUCGGAAUCGCUAGUAAUCGUGGAUCAGAAUGUCACGGUGAAUACGUUCCCGGGUCUU